UAUACAUCCGCUUUUUUUGUGACC
rnacentral:siRNA from 1 species